UACGGAGGGGACUAGCGUUGUUCGGAAUUACUGGGCGUAAAGCGCACGUAGGCGGAUUUGUAAGUCAGGGGUGAAAUCCCGGGGCUCAACCUCGGAACUGCCUUUGAUACCGCAAAUCUCGAGUCCGGAAGAGGUGAGUGGAAUUCCUAGUGUAGAGGUGAAAUUCGUAGAUAUUAGGAAGAACACCAGUGGCGAAGGCGGCUCACUGGUCCGGUACUGACGCUGAGGUGCGAAAGCGUGGGGAGCGAACAGG
rnacentral:rRNA from 1 species